ACGCCUGGUAGAAGUUAGCGGCGGACGGGUGAGUAACACGUGGGUAACCUGCCCAUAAGACUGGGAUAACUCCGGGAAACCGGGGCUAAUACCGGAUAACAUUUUGAACCGCAUGGUUCGAAAUUGAAAGGCGGCUUCGGCUGUCACUUAUGGAUGGACCCGCGUCGCAUUAGCUAGUUGGUGAGGUAACGGCUCACCAAGGCAACGAUGCGUAGCCGACCUGAGAGGGUGAUCGGCCACACUGGGACUGAGACACGGCCCAGACUCCUACGGGAGGCAGCAGUAGGGAAUCUUCCGCAAUGGACGAAAGUCUGACGGAGCAACGCCGCGUGAGUGAUGAAGGCUUUCGGGUCGUAAAACUCUGUUGUUAGGGAAGAACAAGUGCUAGUUGAAUAAGCUGGCACCUUGACGGUACCUAACCAGAAAGCCACGGCUAACUACGUGCCAGCAGCCGCGGUAAUACGUAGGUGGCAAGCGUUAUCCGGAAUUAUUGGGCGUAAAGCGCGCGCAGGUGGUUUCUUAAGUCUGAUGUGAAAGCCCACGGCUCAACCGUGGAGGGUCAUUGGAAACUGGGAGACUUGAGUGCACAAGAGGAAAGUGGAAUUCCAUGUGU
rnacentral:rRNA from 1 species